GUCCGGUGCGAAUCCGGCGCUGUCCCGCAACUGUGGAGUCCUCCCCUGGAGGCCGAGCCAGG
rnacentral:ncRNA from 1 species